AUGCUUUAUUGUACCAACAAUUGGAAAUUACCUGGUUUGUUUGAAUUAAGCGAUUCACUUACUACUGUCACGAUGGAUUAUAAACUCAAGGGACUUCUAAGCCACUAUGUUCUUGUCUUGAUGCUCCUGGAAGUCCAGUCGAGCCCAGUGCCUCCUGCUGGAACUCGAGCCGCCUCUGAUGAUGUCUUGAAACGUAUGGAAGCUUAUGUGAAGCAGUUGAAAUGUGAAGCAAAGGAUCUACUGUGUAAAUAUAAUCAUUUUUAUCGUACCGGAAAUGCUUCAGUUCCAGACGAUGUCCCUAACUCCACAGUAUCUGGUAACAACUUCUCUGAGAAGUUGCAGGACAUCUACAUCAACAAUGAGCUUUUUCAUUUGCACAUUUUAAAGGUAGAAGACUAUCAGAAACUUUGGGGAAAUCCAGCAUCUGUUAUGGAACCCCUGUCAGUCGUCAAGAUUAAACUCACCUACCUCUCAGAAGUACUCAAAAGGCACCCAAAUAUGUCUUUGCCAACAAAACCAACCCUACCACAGAUGUCCCACACUCAUGACUAUGAAAGAAAAAUAUAUGGAUGGGGUGUCAUAUUCAGACUGACAGACUGGGUGGAACAAGUACUAGAGGUACUUAAGACUAUGGCAGAGUGUAAACCAUGCAAGAGAAGUCUGAGAAAAAUAACCCUGUAAUAAUGUCACCUGGUGCCUUUUGGGAUGUGUGUUGUUGAGAUCGGUGUGUUUGGGAUUUUUUUAACCUUUUAAUACCAAAAUCUGUGUAGUCUGCACCAUUAUGACCAUGAAAGCACAGACCUGUUGUGCAUCUUUUAAUAUAUUUAUAUAUUUAUUGUUGUUAUUUAUGGAUAUUUAUUUGUUUUAAAUGUGCAUUAAAUCUAUGGGCAGCAGACUGAAAUGAAGCUUAAAUUACAAUUAUAUAUUCAUUGAACAUGUAUUUAUUUUUCUUAAAAGGGUUGAUGAAAACAAUGUUUUUAUUGUUAUUUUUAUUAUACAUGAAGAGGAGUUACAUUACAAACAUGUGAAAAGGCUGCCUCGCUCCCUUUUUACUAGGCCUUUUCCAACAUUAACAGUUUUUGUGUGUUAGAUCAGUCCAGUGUUGUAGUUAAUCUGUUAUUUAUUUAUUAGUAAUAUAUUAGUCAGGUAGUAUCAUUUUAUUAUGUUAUUUCCUUUCCUGUGAUGUCGUGCAUCAUUAGGUCCUCUUAGCAGCAGGGGAUGGGUUACUGACAAGUUUUCUAAGGAAGAUUGCAACAGUUCUACCGGAAAUUAUAUUUUGUUGAAGUUGGUGCGCUUAUGAGCGUGUAUGUGUGCCCUCUGGCAACUUCUGAUGUCAGCAGUAACUAAGAAAUAUUAAAUGAAUGCUUUAUUUAUUAUUUUGUAUAGUCUGAUGUCUUGUAUCUUUUUAAUUCACAAAAUGCUUACUUGAGAAGGUGCUAUGUCUGUAUGUAUGUGUUGUUUGUUGUUCUGUACCAGUUACCUUACUUUACUGAACCAGUAAAGGUUUUUAUGAAAACAAACACAAUGUAAUUUUUUAUGGUAAGGAUUGGACCUUAUUAUUAUCAGUCCUAACCCACAUAAUAUAAAGCAAUUCAAAAAAAUAGAGAGAGCUUGUCUGGACUGAACCAGGUUGACAAAAGGAUAUUGCCAAGUUGUGGUUGCCGUCACAUCUGCGCACAGGAAGCAUUGUGUGAAAGGGUUCAGAGAAGGAAUGAAUCAAUCGAAAAGUCAAUAUGUCAUUACAAAAGUGUGUGAUGACAAGUGAUGAACAACUGACGUAUAUAAAAAAAAGUUGUUUGUGAAAGUGUUUAAUCUGAAAUGAUUCAAAGGUAAAGGUAAACAAGUCUUGAGACAGUAGAAGAUAUACAUAAUGGUAAUCAAGAAGAACAAAAAGUUGUUAAAAUAUGAUAGCUCUACUUAAAAUAAGUAAAGGCAACUGAUUUACUAUAUGAUGUAAAUAAGAAAAUAUUAUUGAAAUAUUAGGUUUUGAAAAACUGUUGUAGAAGUAUAGACUAACUUUCAUAAUGAAAUAUCAAAGCCUAACCUUUCAGUUUCUUCUUUUCUCUUGUUUUAUGUAUGUAUGCAUGUAUAUAUAUAUAUAUUCAUAUUUUCCUUUUAAUUAUGUGUAUGUUUAUGCAUGUGGUACGUGGAUGUGGAUGUGGAUGUAUACGCAAAUAUGGAUGUGUACAAUACAGUCAGUAACAUCUAAACUGGUUGGCUCCUUAUUGCUUACAUAUGCACUGUGUUUUCUGUAUGGUUGAAAAAUAACACAAAGUAAACAUUUCAAAAAUUGUGGCUAGAUGUUUAAAUAACAGGAAAUGUAUGAACGAUGUGUGACACAAUUGACAC
rnacentral:lncRNA from 15 species